rnacentral:rRNA from 1 species
AACGUAGGUGGAGCGAGCGUUUAUCCGGAUUUACGUGGGCGUAAAGCGUGCGCAGGCGGUCUGUUAAGACCGAUGUGAAAUCCCCGGCUUAACCUGGGAACUGCAUUGGUGACUGGCAGGCUUGAGUGUGGCAGAGGGAGGUAGAAUUCCGACGUGUAGCAGUGAAAUGCGUAGAGAGUGUGGAGGAAUACCGAUGGCGAAGGCAGCCUCCUGGGCCAACACUGACGCUCAUGCACGAAAGCGUGGGGAGCAAACAGG